CGUUCACCCCAAAAAAUAUAGUUUGGCCCGCCACAUGGUCUGAGGGACGGUGAACCGGCCCAUGGCUGAAAAAGGUUGCUGACCCCUGGUGUAGGGCAUAACGUACAAAUUGAAGAUUGGGGGAAACUGUGGAAAGUGAAUUUGAAAUUCACAGACUGCAUAUUGCUGAAAGAGAAUUACAUGAAAAUGAUGUAUAGAUGGUAUAUUACACUGGUAAAAAUGGCCAAAAUGUAUAGAACAGAAUCGAAGACCUGUUGGAGCUGUAAAGCAAAGGAAGGUACCUUUUACCAUAUGUGAUGGGAGUGUAGACAUAUAAAUUUUGGGGGGGGAAAUGAUAUACAAUGAAUUUUAAAAAAUGUUUAAAAUAAAAUUGAUAGGUAUUCUAGGUCAAGAAUUACCAAAGGGGAAAUGCAAGCUAUUUUUAUAUGCCACAACUGUGGCAAGAACAUUAAUAGCAAGAACUGUGGCAAGAACUUUAAAAAUUGGCAGUCUGGAGAAAUACCAACGAAAGAACAAUGGCAAGAAAAAUUGAUGAACUAUGCAGAGUUAGCAAAGUUAACAGACAAAUUACAUGAAAAUGAUAACAGUGACUUCAAAAAGGAAUGGGAACUAUUUACAACCUAUUUGCAGAAACACCAAAAAGAAAUUAACUCAUUGGCAGGAUUUGAAUAAACUUUCACAAUUUUAUUGAGUUUAAACAUGGAGGAUGACAUUGUAACAACACCCGGUAGUAUAUAUACAUGCAGAAUAUAACAAGUAAUGCAAUAAACCAGAAGGGGAAAAUUGAGGGAAGUCGGGUGGGGAGGGCGAAGAUUGUAAAUGUAAUGGUAAGGUGGGAUUGGGUAUUGGUAUGUGAUAUAUGGAAUUUGCAAUUAUAAAACUGCAAUAAAAAUGUAUUUUAAAAAAAGAAAAGGGCAGAAGAGAGAUUGGCUUCACGCAGGCACAGUCCCCAAUUGCUUGAGAAAACCCCCGGACAGGAGGGGACUUAGACGGCACUGAGGAAGCGGGAGCUUUCAUUCUCAGCAACUGGUCCACGGGGAAAGAUGUGCCAGGGAUGAGCUGCUUGUGCUCAGGCCUGACACUCUGCCAAAUCUUUGCUGACCAUGUUCUUGCUAAUAAAGAGUUAACUCCAACUUGCACAGUGUGAUUUACUGCCAGCUGUCUCCUGACAAUCUUCUGCCCUGAUCACUCCAUGUUCUUCUGAUUGUUCUAAACCAUUAACCCUGUCCAGGUGUUUAAAUUCGAAAUGUUUGGAGGGAGAGAGGAUGAGCAAGCUUCUUCUACUUCCAUCGCCCUUCAUGAAGAGGAGGAAUAACUUCUGAAGCAAGGAGCAUUUUGGGCUCAGACGACCACAGCACCUGGAGACAAUCAAAUUAGGUUGUGUCUCCACAGCAGUGAACAUAGGAGGAAUGGACACUGGGAGGAACGUCAUUGCACACUCGCAUCAGCACACUCGCUUCAACAAAACAUGUCUCUCCCGUAUUGUUCUCUACAGCCACAGCGGGUGCUGUAACUCUCCAAAAGCUUGAACGCAAAGCUGCACUCCUCCCUUGACUCCAAAAACACAUGAAUGUCAACAACAACAGCUAUCAUCAUUCAGGGUUACAGGAAGUUGCCUUAUACUAAGUCAAACCAUUUGGUCCAUCUCAUUCAAUAUUAUCUUCACCAAUGCUCCAGUGAAUAAGGAAGAGGAUGUUCUCAGCCGUACCUGGAGAUGCCAGGGAUCGACCCUGGGACCUUCUGCAUGCAAAUCCAAUGCUCUUCCAAUGAGCUAUGGCCUUCCCAAACAUUUCCACCCCAUCUUCCCUCAGCAACUCCAUGGCACCUCCAACAGUUAAAACAGAGGGCCCUGGAGCACUUCCUGUGCACCUGCUAUUGCCUUUUCCCACAGUACAGUGGUACCUUGGGUUACAAACACCUCGGGUUACAAACACUUCAGGUUAUAGACUCCGCUAACCCGGAAGUAGUACCUCAGGUUAAGAACUUUACCUCAGGAUAAGAACAGAAAUCAUGUGGCAGCAGCUGUAGAGACCCCAUUAGUUAAAAGUGGUACCUCAGGUUAAGAACAGUUUCAGGUUAAGAACGGACCUCCGGAACGAAUUAAGUUCCUAACCAGAGGUACCACUGUACCAUCACGACAACAGUGUUGUGCCAAAGCUCUCUCUGCCCCAGUUUCAAAGGUUGCUUAGCACGUGGCAUUGGAAGUGGCAGAAAGAGCCCAGUGUUUCAGAUACAGAAAUUGAAAGCCUCUGCCCGUCGGUGGGUGCAAAAUGAGCUGCUAUGUUCUGGCCCACUUUUGCAAAUACCCCAAACCACCACAAUGAUGAUAAAAAUGCCAGCAACGCCUUGUUGUGAAAAUAGACUUGCUAAUUCCUUGUUGUUGUGUUUUCCAGAAGUGUGUUUCCAUAAGUAUGCAUAAUGCAUUCUCCCCAUCACUUUGUAACUUCUGGAGCAAAAACUGUAAUCUGUUUAAGAAGAACAUGAAUCAGACUGAUAAAAAGUAA